CUGGGAUAUUGGUUGGGUUGUUCUGGAUGCUUCAAAUAACACCAGACUCCUGUGCAGAGGUAAUGGAAAUAAGCUCCCUGCUGUAACCAUUGCAAAAUAAACAUACAUAAAAUUUAUAAAGUGCAAUAGACUGUUUUUUUUUCAUUGUUUUUGCACUUUCUUCAUAGCCAACACAUUUUUCAGUGUAUCCAUGGGAAUUACGAAACAGAAUCAUAGUUAGUACUAUGUAGCUGUGUCAAGCAAGAUGAAGAUCAUAGGGACUAGGCAGUGGUUAAGACCAAAGAACUAAACAAAUGAAGAGAAUGGCCUAAGUUAGAAGAAGCCUAAAAUGGAAAAAAGUCACAUGAUCAGCCCCCAAUGCUACCAUGGUGUGACACAUUAGAGGAUGUAUAAGUCUUUAAAAGAAUGGGAUGCAAACUUCUUAGGGAGAGCAGAAGGGUUCCCAGAGUGUUAUGAAGCAGCAGACAGCAUCACAGAAGCAACUCUGAAGCAGACAGCAACCACUCCACUUCCCCCCCAAAAGAGAGGAAGCAGGAACUAUUUUACUUUUGGAGAGAGGAUAAGAGUGGGACAAAUCAUACACACUAAAUAAAUCACAG
rnacentral:lncRNA from 1 species